rnacentral:rRNA from 1 species
AACGAACGCUGGCGGCAUGCCUAACACAUGCAAGUCGAACGAAGCCUUCGGGCUUAGUGGCGCACGGGUGCGUAACGCGUGGGAAUCUGCCCCUUGGUUCGGAACAACAGUUAGAAAUGACUGCUAAUACCGGAUAACGACGAAAGUCCAAAGAUUUAUCGCCGAGGGAUGAGCCCGCGUAAGAUUAGGUAGUUGGUGGGGUAAUGGCCUACCAAGCCGACGAUCUUUAGCUGGUCUGAGAGGAUGAUCAGCCACACUGGGACUGAGACACGGCCCAGACUCCUACGGGAGGCAGCAGUGGGGAAUAUUGGACAAUGGGCGAAAGCCUGAUCCAGCAAUGCCGCGUGAGUGAUGAAGGCCUUAGGGUUGUAAAGCUCUUUUACCAGGGAUGAUAAUGACAGUACCUGGAGAAUAAGCUCCGGCUAACUCCGUG